rnacentral:lncRNA from 1 species
GUGACAUUGAAGGCUAAGUAUGUCCUGCUCUGCUGGAGCGGUCUGCUCCCAGCCGUGAUGAUGAAUGCAGGAAGGAGGCCAUGAGCAUCCAGAGGUUGUCAUCUGCCAUGAUAGGGAAUCUGAGGCAGAAUGGCUGGCAUCAAGGAGGACAGGAGACCGGAACUAGCCCCAGCCCCAGGCUGCCCCAUAAUCACACCCCCCUGCCCCCCUGCUUCCCACCCAUGAGAAGAUUAAAGCACUAUCCAGCCAGGAGCUGCUUUCUGGAGAUACCUCAUGUCCAGAGUUGUGAAGCCUUCGCUAUUCUGCACUUCCUCAGUCCAGAAACAUUCAAGGGCAACUGUUGCAAAGCCGCUCUGUUACUAGAUACCAACAUUUUUUGAGCUCUGCUCAGAUAACAUGAAGAAAGCAUGUUCAGAGU